GACGAACGCUGGCGGCGUGCUUAACACAUGCAAGUCGAACGGAAAGGCCCUGCUUUUGUGGGGUGCUCGAGUGGCGAACGGGUGAGUAACACGUGAGUAACCUGCCCUUGACUUUGGGAUAACUUCAGGAAACUGGGGCUAAUACCGGAUAGGAGCUCCUGCUGCAUGGUGGGGGUUGGAAAGUUUCGGCGGUUGGGGAUGGACUCGCGGCUUAUCAGCUUGUUGGUGGGGUAGUGGCUUACCAAGGCUUUGACGGGUAGCCGGCCUGAGAGGGUGACCGGCCACAUUGGGACUGAGAUACGGCCCAGACUCCUACGGGAGGCAGCAGUGGGGAAUAUUGCACAAUGGGCGGAAGCCUGAUGCAGCAACGCCGCGUGCGGGAUGACGGCCUUCGGGUUGUAAACCGCUUUCGCCUGUGACGAAGCGUGAGUGACGGUAAUGGGUAAAGAAGCACCGGCUAACUACGUGCCAGCAGCCGCGGUGAUACGUAGGGUGCGAGCGUUGUCCGGAUUUAUUGGGCGUAAAGGGCUCGUAGGUGGUUGAUCGCGUCGGAAGUGUAAUCUUGGGGCUUAACCCUGAGCGUGCUUUCGAUACGGGUUGACUUGAGGAAGGUAGGGGAGAAUGGAAUUCCUGGUGGAGCGGUGGAAUGCGCAGAUAUCAGGAGGAACACCAGUGGCGAAGGCGGUUCUCUGGGCCUUUCCUGACGCUGAGGAGCGAAAGCGUGGGGAGCGAACAGGCUUAGAUACCCUGGUAGUCCACGCUGUAAACGGUGGGUACUAGGUGUGGGGUCCAUUCCACGGGUUCCGUGCCGUAGCUAACGCUUUAAGUACCCCGCCUGGGGAGUACGGCCGCAAGGCUAAAAUUCAAAGGAAUUGACGGGGCCCCGCACAAGCGGCGGAGCAUGCGGAUUAAUUCGAUGCAACGCGUAGAACCUUACCUGGGUUUGACAUGGAUCGGGAGUGCUCAGAGAUGGGUGUGCCUCUUUUGGGGUCGGUUCACAGGUGGUGCAUGGCUGUCGUCGGCUCGUGUCGUGAGAUGUUGGGUUAAGUCCCGCAACGAGCGCAACCCUUGUUCACUGUUGCCAGCACGUUAUGGUGGGGACUCAGUGGAGACCGCCGGGGUCAACUCGGAGGAAGGUGGGGAUGACGUCAAGUCAUCAUGCCCCUUAUGUCCAGGGCUUCACGCAUGCUACAAUGGCUGGUACAGAGAGUGGCGAGCCUGUGAGGGUGAGCGAAUCUCGGAAAGCCGGUCUCAGUUCGGAUUGGGGUCUGCAACUCGACCUCAUGAAGUCGGAGUCGCUAGUAAUCGCAGAUCAGCAACGCUGCGGUGAAUACGUUCCCGGGGCU
rnacentral:rRNA from 1 species